rnacentral:rRNA from 1 species
CAGAGUGCCAAGUGGGCCACUUUUGGUAAGCAGAACUGGCGCUGUGGGAUGAACCAAACGCCGAGUUAAAGCGCCUAAAUCGACGCUUAUGGGAUACCAUGAAAGGCGUUGGUAACUUAAGACAGCAGGACGGUGGCCAUGGAAGUCGGAAUCCGCCAAGGAGUGUGUAACAACUCACCUGCCGAAGUUACUAGCCCUGAAAAUGGAUGGCGCUGAAGCGUCGUGCUUAUACUCUGCCGUCAGCGGCAUGUGAGACGGUCCUUAAGAGGUCGUCAUGAAGCCCUGACGAGUAGGAGGGUCGCGGCGGUGAGCGCAGAAGGACCAGGCGCGAGCCAGUCUGGAGCCGCCGUCGGUGCAGAUCUUGGUGGUAGUAGCAAAUACUCCAGCGAGGCCCUGGAGGACUGACGUGGAGAAGGGUUUCGUGUGAACAGCCGUUGCACACGAGUCAGUCGAUCCUAAGCCAUAGGCGAAAGCCGAUGUCGAUGCGGUGUAUCUUUCAGUGUCUAUAUGCUGCCGCUGCUGCUGCUAUGUAGCUGCUGCUGCUGUUAAGGCGGAGAGACUCACACCCGUCGGGCGAAAGGGAAUCCGGUUCCUAUUCCGGAACCCGGCAGCGGAACCGUUAUUAAGUCGUGCCCUCAUUCAGAGAGUUCGUCGGGGCAACCCAAAAGGACCUGGACACGCCGCCGGGAGAUCCGGGAAGAGUUUUCUUUUCUGCAUAAGCGCUCGAGUUCCAUGGAAUCCUCUAGCAGGGAGAUAUGGUUUGGAGCGCGAAGAGCACCGCAGUUGCGGCGGUGUCCGGAUCUUCCCCUCGGACCUUGAAA